AAGUCGUAACAAGGUUUCCGUAGGUGAACCUGCGGAAGGAUCAUUAUCAAAACAGCGGACUUCGGUCCUUGCUGCACCCUUGUCUUUUGCGUACCGUAUGUUUCCUCGGCGGGCUUGCCUGCCGGUUGGACAUUAUCAAACCUUUUUGUAGUUGCAAUCAGCGUCAGAAACAAAACAAUAAUUACAACUUUCAACAACGGAUCUCUUGGUUCUG
rnacentral:misc_RNA from 1 species